rnacentral:tRNA from 1 species
UGGCUGAGUGGUAAAAGGCUGGACUUCUGAACCAGAAUCCCGGGUUCAAAUCCUGG